ensembl:snRNA U6 U6 spliceosomal RNA
CAGCACAUGUACAGGUACUCUGUAUCUGGAAUGAUACAGAGACUAUUUAGCGCGGCCCCUGCACGAGGAUGACAUGCAAAUUUGUGAAGUGUUCUAUGUUAAA